CUAGUGAGGAAGUGAGAUUUCCUGCCAAUGGCCCUGUCAGUCGGCCAUCCUGGGAGCAGAUCUCCUUGCCUGAGGAAGUUGCCAAAUGACUGCAGUCUUGGCUCUGGUGUCAGCUGCAGCCUCAUGAGAGACGCCAUCAUACAGACUCCUGAGCCAAAUGCCGUUCAUUCCGAUUCCCUAAGAGAAAACUGGGCUGCAGACGGUCUGUGCGAGCCUGCCUGGAUGUCAAACUGUUAUAUGUCACACUGCAAAAAGUAAUUAAAAUUCUGAAGCAAAAUAAAUAUUAACCAUUG
rnacentral:lncRNA from 1 species